rnacentral:rRNA from 1 species
UACGUAGGGGGCAAGCGUUGUCCGGAUUUAUUGGGCGUAAAGAGCGCGUAGGCGGCCAGGUAGGUCUGCUGUGAAAGCUCGAGGCUUAACCUUGAGGUGUCAGCGGAAACUAUCUGGCUAGAGUGCGGAAGAGGAGAAUGGAAUUCCCGGUGUAGCGGUGAAAUGCGUAGAGAUCAGGAGGAAUACCGGUGGCGAAGGCAGGUCUCUGGGCUGCCACUGACGCUCAGGCACGAAAGCGUGGGGAGCAAACAGG